rnacentral:rRNA from 1 species
GUGGGGAAUAUUGGACAAUGGGGGGAACCCUGAUCCAGCCAUGCCGCGUGUGUGAAGAAGGCCUUUUGGUUGUGAAGCACUUUAAGCGAGGAGGAGGCUACCGAUAUUAAUACUCUUGGAUAGUGGACGUUACUCGCAGAAUAAGCACCGGCUAACUCUGUGCCAGCAGCCGCGGUAAUACAGAGGGUGCAAGCGUUAAUCGGAUUUACUGGGCGUAAAGCGCGCGUAGGUGGCCAAUUAAGUCAAAUGUGAAAUCCCCGAGCUUAACUUGGGAAUUGCAUUCGAUACUGGUUGGCUAGAGUAUGGGAGAGGAUGGUAGAAUUCCAGGUGUAGCGGUGAAAUGCGUAGAGAUCUGGAGGAAUACCGAUGGCGAAGGCAGCCAUCUGGCCUAAUACUGACACUGAGGUGCGAAAGCAUGGGGAGCAAACAGGAUUAGAAACCCCGGUAAUCC